rnacentral:rRNA from 1 species
UACGGAGGGUGCAAGCGUUGUUCGGAAUUACUGGCGUAAAGAGCGCGUAGGCGGUCUAAUAAGUCAGACGUGAAAGCCCUGGGCUUAACCCAGGAUGUGCGUUUGAAACUAUUAGGCUUGAGAAUCAGAGAGGUGAGUGGAAUUCCUAGUGUAGAGGUGAAAAUUCGUAGAUAUUAGGAGGAACAUCAGUGGCGAAGGCGGCUCACUGGCUGAUUACUGACGCUGAGGCGCGAAAGCGUGGGGAGCAAACAGG